rnacentral:rRNA from 1 species
GACGAACGCUGGCGGCGUGCUUAACACAUGCAAGUCGAGCGGUAAGGCCCUUUCGGGGGUACACGAGCGGCGAACGGGUGAGUAACACGUGGGUGACCUGCCUUUAGCUCUGGGAUAAGCCUGGGAAACUGGGUCUAAUACCGGAUAUGACUCCAUGAUGCAUGUUGUGGGGUGGAAAGCCUUGUGCGGCUGGAGAUGGGCCCGCGGCCUAUCAGCUUGUUGGUGGGGUGANGGCCUACCAAGGCGACGACGGGUAGCCGGCCUGAGAGGGCGACCGGCACACUGGGACUGAGACACGGCCCAGACUCCUACGGGAGGCAGCAGUGGGGAAUCUUGCGCAAUGGGCGAAAGCCUGACGCAGCGACGCCGCGUGAGGGAUGACGGCCUCGGUUGU